rnacentral:sRNA from 1 species
UUUGAAACCGAGGCGGCAGACCUAGCCGGUGGCACGACAGUUGCUGCAGGGCAUCUUUUGAACCAGAGCGACAAGGACUGCGGGCAGGACCGGCGGGCUCCUGGGGUUCAGCCGUGCCGCCUCGUUACGAUGACCAGUGUGGUUAAGACAGUGUAUAGCCUGCAGCCCCCCUCUGCGCUGAGCUGCGGCCAGCCCGCAGAACACCUGAAUGGUAAUCCUGGCACCAGCGGGGACUAGGAGUUGCUGAAAGAACUGGAGCCAGGUCUCAGCUGCUGUGUUAUUCCCUUAGAUGCAGUGCCUCUCAGUUAGUGGGCAGUGACUAGCUCUCUCAGCCAAGUUGGAAGUGUUCAUCUCUUUGAUUUCUAUCUCUGUCCCAGCUUUAUGAUCGUAUGUAACUAGAACAGUUUCACAUUUUUAGGCUGCCUCCCAGGAUUUUUGUUUUGAUUUUGAUCAUGGGCUGGAUAAGUAAUAAAACAAAAAGGUGGAAAACCAUAUACAAUGAUAAACAAGUUUCCUUCCCUUCCUUGACACCAGCCAUCCAGUUCCUCUCCCAGUGUCUCCCAUUUCUAGGAGACAGCUUUGUUAAAUCCUACUAAAUUUUUCCUACGAUGCAAUCCUUAGAUUUUAGCAAAUACGAAUUAUUGGAACCA